GGUCGUUUCUCUUCGGGCCCAACACGAGCCCAAAAGCUUCCCAUCUUCUCCCAGAAGAUUAGCGGCGGGGGAGGCGGCGGCGACCGGCGGCGACAGGGUGGCCGGAUUUGCGGUCCCGUCUCCCUCUCCUGGGCUUCCGCCACCACCCGCGGGCGCUUCUCCUCCACCGGGAAGCCUGCCGUCGCGCGACGGCGACUCCCUUCGACUGUUCGACGCAAUGCCAGGGCAGGCCUGGUGGAGCGGAGGCGGAGCCGCUUCUUCGCUGCUUGAGGCGAGGCGUUCAGGGUGUUCGGCGAAAUGCUCGAGAGUCGCUUGUCCAGUCCUGGUCGGUGGCGACUUCGGCCGUCGAAGAUCUCGUGGGCGGCGACUGUGCUUCCGCUUCGUGAGCUUCUGAAGGACGCAUACCUUUUGGUAAGGAGCAAAAGACUCGUCUCUGUGAAAAGAAACACAGCUUCUGAAGAUUUGCAAGAUCCACUUUGCAGAUACUACAUGCAAAGCAUCAUUCCGAGAGGUGCAUAUAAUUUAGAGCAAUCAUCGGCAUCGUGGUCAUGGUGUGUACAUGCUCUGGAAAACAACAUAGCACGACUGGUGGGUGAUUGGUUGUUUUCCAUUCUCCCGGCUCCACUGGUGUAUCUUUGUAGACCAUGGAUUAUGACUCUUGUGUCUAUCUCUGAAUUUUGGAAGUGCUUGAAGACUUGAAGUAAGCUGCGUAGCGUGUGAGGGCUGCAGGCUGCCAGUGGGAGCUGGCUUAUCAUUUGGGACACCACAGGGGAGACUGGUUCUUGUGUAGACAUGGUCUAUGGACUAUGGAACGGACUGAAGCCACACAGAUCUUCAGGUGCAGCACAAACUGGAGAAAUCCUUCGGCCAGAACAGAAACAGCAUAGGGAACACAAGAUGAUUACAGAAGAUCGGCUGCACAAAGACCAAUUCUAGAAACAGCAUAGAGGCCAUUUCCAGUUCAGACGACUGUAGUGCUGUACUGCUGUGCUGCACGUCGUACACGUCGAAGUCUGAAGAGGAUUGCUGCACUGCAGAUCAAUCAAUGAUUUUCCAAUUUUCGUCAAAACAAGAAACCAAUGAUUUUCCAGGCUCAUGGACACGGUCUACCCAGGCACCCAUCCGUAGACGUGCAAAAUUAUGAAAAACUGAUGGCGAUCUGGCGAUGAAUGAAUGAAUGAUUCGGACCGCCGCUACGUUGUUGCUGCCGACGCGUUCGUUGGCCGUGUGUCCGUGUCUCGGUCUGCAGUCUUCAGUGUCUCAGUCCGAUCGGAAUGAAAUGGAAUGGAGGAGAUGGCGGUGUGAACUGUCCUUGGUAGUGGAGUUGUGGAUUGGCUCGUAUACGACAAAUGUAUUUGGAUAUUUGGCACUUGUUAUCGCUGGAAAAAAUAUAGUCAAGUCGUGUACGAGGAAAACUGCAUGCUACUACCAUACAUACGAAGGAUAUCAAGUUCUUGACAUUUUGAUAUGGAGCAUAGCAAAACUGUUCUAGUUCUCGUUUGAAAUGCGAGAAUGUGUUCACAAAAGGCUGAUUCAUUUUAUUUAAAAUUCACGCAAUAUUCCUCUGUUCGAAGGAAAGGUCUUGUUGUGUUUUUCUUUUUCUUUUUUUUUCUUUUCUAGUGCAGGCUGAUCUGCUGUGCUGAGUGCAGACCGUGGCAGAAGUGAUUUACUUUUCCUUGUAUAAGGGGGUGUUUAAAUCCGGGGUGUAAAGUUUUAGCGUGUCACAUCGAAUAUUAUAUAAGGUAUCGCAUGUGGCAGAGUUUACAUUACCGGUUGACCACUAAAUUUCGAACCCCAUCGGUAUCACCGUUUUCGAUAAAUUUUGAUCGGUUUUUGAU
rnacentral:antisense_RNA from 1 species